rnacentral:rRNA from 1 species
AUGCGGCAAAAUUCUGGGCAAGAGAGGUUAGCCCUACUGCCACGUUCACUUGGAGGUCGAAAGCGCCCCUCCAAAUGCCGCUUCUUCGCUUGGCUUGUGCUCCAAAACAGAUGUUGGACCUCGGAUAGGCUUGCGAGGAAUGGCCUAGAUCACCAGGAGGCAUGCCCAUUUUGCGGACAAGAACAAGAAACCAUUGAUCACAUCCUCCUCACUUGCCUCUUCACGAGGCAAAUAUGGAACAUCAUAUGCAAGGGCCUUACCAAACCGGAUUGGAUCCCGGAUCAAGAGUCCAAAUUGCUACUAUGGUGUGCCAACGUGCAAAACACUACAGCUUGCACUAAGGAUGUGUGA